UACGGAGGGUGCAAGCGUUAUCCGGAUUCACUGGGUUUAAAGGGAGCGUAGGUGGCUUUGUAAGUCAGUGGUGAAAUCUUAGAGCUCAACUCUAAAACUGCCAUUGAUACUGCUUAGCUUGAAUCACGUCGAGGUGGAUGGAAUAUUACAUGUAGCGGUGAAAUGCUUAGAUAUGUAAUAGAACACCGAUUGCGAAGGCAGUUCACUAGGCGUGUAUUGACACUGAGGCUCGAAAGCGUGGGGAUCAAACAGG
rnacentral:rRNA from 2 species